CAGCCUGCCCUGUGACUAUAUGUUUAACGGCCGCGGUAUUUUAACCGUGCGAAGGUAGCGCAAUCACUUGUCUUUUAAAUGGAGACCUGUAUGAAUGGCAUAACGAGGGCUUAACUGUCUCCUUUUUCAAGUCAAUGAAAUUGAUCUCCCCGUGCAGAAGCGGGGAUAAACUCAUAAGACGAGAAGACCCUAUGGAGCUUUAGACACUAAGGCAUAUCAUGCUAAGCACCCCUACACAAAGGACUAAGCCAAAUGAUUUAUGCCCCUAUGUCUUUGGUUGGGGCGACCGCGGGGAAAUAAAAAACCCCCACGUGGAGUGGGAGCACUGACUUCUACAACCUAGAGCUGCAGCUCUAAUUAACAGAAUUUCUGACCAAUAAGAUCCGGCAACGCCGAUCAACGGACCGAGUUACCCUAGGGAUAACAGCGCAAUCCCCUUUUAGAGCCCAUAUCGACAAGGGGGUUUACGACCUCGAUGUUGGAUCAGGACAUCCUAAUGGUGCAGCCGCUAUUAAGGGUUCGUUUGUUCAACGAUUAAAGUCCUACGUGAUCUGAGUUCAGACCGGA
rnacentral:rRNA from 1 species